AUUGAACACUGGCGGCAUGCCUUACACAUGCAAGUCGAACGGUAACGGGCCUUCGGGUGCCGACGAGUGGCGAACGGGUGAGUAAUACAUCGGAACGUGCCCGAUCGUGGGGGAUAACGAGGCGAAAGCUUUGCUAAUACCGCAUACGAUCUACGGAUGAAAGCAGGGGACCGCAAGGCCUUGCGCGGACGGAGCGGCCGAUGGCAGAUUAGGUAGUUGGUGGGAUAAAAGCUUACCAAGCCGACGAUCUGUAGCUGGUCUGAGAGGAUGAUCAGCCACACUGCUACUGAGACACGGCCCAGACUCCUACGGUAGGCAGCAGUGGGGAAUUUUGGACAAUGGGCGCAAGCCUGAUCCAGCCAUGCCGCGUGCAGGAUGAAGGCCUUCGGGUUGUAAACUGCUUUUGUACGGAACGAAAAGCCUUCUUUUAAUACAGGAGGGUCAUGACGGUACCGUAAGAAUAAGCACCGGCUAACUACGUG
rnacentral:rRNA from 1 species